rnacentral:rRNA from 1 species
GUCCACGCUGUAACGAUGAAUACUAGGUGUGGGAGGACUGACCCUUCCGUGCCGCAGUUAACACAAUAAGUAUUCCACCUGGGGAGUACGACCGCAAGGUUGAAACUCAAAGGAAUUGACGGGGCCCGCACAAGCAGUGGAUUAUGUGGUUUAAUUCGACGCAACGCGAAGAACCUUACCAGGAUUUGACAUCCAACUAACGAAGUAGAGAUACAUUAGGUGCCCUUCGGGAAAGUUGAGACAGGUGGUGCAUGGUUGUCGU